GCCCUACUGGGGUGAUGUGUGAUGGUGCCACUGUCCCGCUCCCAUCUGAGGGGUCACUGCUCACCUGGCUGCCAGGAUGGAUCCUGGGAAUCUGCCCCUGGUCUGGGGAGGAACAGCUGAGCCUCGCUGGGAUGUCUGGGGAUGUUCCCCCAGCUCUGUCCAUAGGAGCUCCAGACCCCCAGGGGCUCAGGGAGGGCUCAGUGGGGACCCCCAGGUGGAGCCUCCUGUACUUCCAGGUGCCACUGGAAUCCGAGGGUGAGGAGGCCGCUCUGCCCGAGCAGGAGCUGGGGAGCAGCGUGGGCAGCCGGGAGCUCCGUGGGAUCGCCAGGAAGGGGAACUACGAGGCCAUGGUCCCUCUCGGGUCUGAGGAUGCUGGUUCCAGAGCUGCACUGCUGCCACCAGCCGAGGACAGGGAGGAUCCAGGGAGCCCCGGGCUGCCUGAGAAGGGAGCGGUGCCAGGACAGCUUGGUGACAGUGACAUGAUCGUGAUCAAGACGGAAGAG
rnacentral:lncRNA from 1 species